UGUACAAUAGUGUAGUUAGCACUUUAAUUUUUGACAUUAACGGCCUUAGUACAA
rnacentral:tRNA from 1 species